rnacentral:rRNA from 1 species
ACGAACGCUGGCGGCGUGCUUAACACAUGCAAGUCGAACGGAAAGGCCCUGCUUUUGUGGGGUGCUCGAGUGGCGAACGGGUGAGUAACACGUGAGUAACCUGCCCUUGACUUUAGGAUAACUUCAGGAAACUGGGGCUAAUACCGGAUAGGAGCUCCUGCUGCAUGGUGGGGGUUGGAAAGUUUCGGCGGUUGGGGAUGAACUCGCGGCUUAUCAGCUUGUUGGUGGGGUAGUGGCUUACCAAGGCUUUGACGGGUAGCCGGCCUGAGAGGGUGACCGGCCACAUUGGGACUGAGAUACGGCCCAGACUCCUACGGGAGGCAGCAGUGGGGAAUAUUGCACAAUGGGCGGAAGCCUGAUGCAGCAACGCCGCGUGCGGGAUGACGGCCUUCGGGUUGUAAACCGCUUUCGCCUGUGACGAAGCGUGAGUGACGGUAAUGGGUAAAGAAGCACCGGCUAACUACGUG